CAGGGCUGUUCGGGGUUUGUUCUGUUAUUGCAGUUAUGUGUUUGUUGUCAUGUUGCUAUGGUGACGGGUGACGCGCUCUCUCGGCGACUGUUUUUCCGGUGAGAGCGCGCCUUUUUGUUGUUGUUGCUGUGUCCGCGCUGAGGUGUGUAGAUUAAACGGGUGCUCCCAAAGAAACCUCUGUCUCCCCCGUGACUGAGCUUGCCACAAUACAAACAAAAUGCAACCACGCGGAUGGUCGGACGCGGAAAAACAUGGCGGACUGAUAAGAACUAGUAUGGCAGAGGUUCGUAAAUACAGACAUUUGUAUGAUUCAGCUCUCAGAGAUCACCGUGAUCAACAUGUUGUAAAUAAUUCUUGGAGAGAAAUAGCUCGCACUGUCGGAAAAGACGAGGACGCUGUUAAAAAUGCUGGAAUGCCGUGUUGUAAACAACAGUCAUUUCUACUUCUACUAUGGUGUAGUGUUGGAUGCAUGCCGUAGAGCUCCAUGCUGCCCCGUUCAGUUUGGGAGAAUAUUGGCUCACCGCAGAGACAAGCCGCAUGCUCAAUGCGUGACAGCCUUCACUAAACCCAUUUCCAACAUGGCGGGGACAGUCUGCGCGCAGCUGAGAACGAGGCACCGCUUUACCUUACUGUAACGCUUCUUAAUUAAUGAAACAGCCAUGUUUUCAAUACGGUUGGAUGAAGAACGUGAGUAGAUACCAGGCAGCGGUAACAUCUAAGCCAAGACGUCAUUAAAAGUAGGUCGUUAAAUAGCGCUAAUUAAUUAGCUCCUUCGUUAGCUUGUUACCGUUAGCUAAACAGCUACGUGAGAAGAGAAUCAACAUGACUCACCAACAUACUUUAGUCCCCCGCCUGCAGCAGCCGAACUUCAUUUUACAGAAACUGCAGAUUACCCUGAAACUUUUGUUGCUGGAAAACGCCCAAUACGCUCUGGAACAAGACCUUCUCCACUUCACCGACCAGGUUUAUAAAGAUGUCUUUGACAUCUUCAAUUCAUUUUUUCCUGCGGCUGUCUUCACUGAUCUUCUAAAGACUUUAGAUGAAACAAGUCAAGCAAUUGAGAAGCUUUCAUCUUUGCUAAGGACCCGUACAGCUGGUGCUGAACUUUCCAUCUGGACUGCAAUCGCAACGAACCACCCCAAACCUCUUAAAGUCAACUACAGGAACCCGAUAAUGGGUGUUGUCAGGUUUGGGCCAGUGUUGCAGAACCUCUUCAUGAUGUGUUCUUUACCAAAAGCAGUCCAGGUUUUUGGAGCCCCUGUGACCCAUCAGCAGCAGAAACGUCCCCUCAGCUCCCAGCAUGUUGUGCAGUCAAGUGACCCAUCAGGCAGCAAGUCAACCAACUUUAACAACAACACUUUGACCACAGGCUCCUCUUGUCACUUGAAAGCAGAAGAACAGCUUGUUUUCAAAGAUAAAGGCCAAGCAGAUGCCACGAGCAUCCAACCUUCUGUUGUUCAGAGCAGCAAGCUGAAUGAAGAGACGUCAAACAUACUCCUUCCUCCCCUACAAGCUGUAUUCCCUGAGGUCAGUAACCAUAAACCGAUGUUGAUCUGGGGGCGUGAUGAGGACAUCCAGGUGCAACACCAAAAACAAACAUCCUUGCAUCUGCAGCACUUCCUCAGACCAAAAGCUAAAAACAAAAGUGUACUCAUAGUCCGAGGUUUGGAGUGGUCUGAGAGCAAAUACAAGGCAAGCAAUCCCGAUUGGCCACAGCGAGUGUCGCCUACUGUCAAAACACCAAACCACAAGUUCAGACAUGUUGUGACUGAUGAUUCAGUCGGUGAACUUUCUCCAAGAACAUUGCACGCAAAUGUUGGAAGCCAAGCCCCUGUCUUCAGAGUGAAAACGGUCAAGUCAAGUGGCUCUUUGAUCUACAGCUGUGUGAUUGCCACAGAAACUGAAUUAUGGGAUAUUGGAGAUGUCUUCACAGAGGUGUUACUGGAAGACUCUGUGCUUGCUUCCUUGGAAAGUGAAAACUGCCUAAAUACCAUUGCUCAGGUGGAGAACUUGUGCAUAAACAUGGGCUGGAAAACCAAAGCUCUGCAGUGCUCAGAACCUAAACCACAGAACAAAUUCGCUCUUUCAGAAAGGUCGACAGCUACAAGCGUAAACAUCCCUGAGUUCCAGAUCCGGAAGUUUGACGAGGCUGAAGUAGUGGUGUCUCAUAUUGUCAGUCCUGGCAACUUCUACAUCCAGUAUGCAGACUCUGUGGAGAAGCUGCAGGCACUACUCCGAGAUUGUAAAGUCACCUGUUCACAUGCUGAGCAGAACUGCAUCCCGGACAUAGGAACUAAAGUUCUGUGUUGGUUCCCUUGGGAGGAGCAGUGGUGCAGGGCAGAAGUGAUGAAGAUCUGUGGAGUGAGCCGAGACAACAGUGCUGCAGAUGGCGCAGGGAGCGAGUCCUCCAUAAAGGUGGAGGUUAGGAGGCUGGAUUACGGCAACACUACCUGUCUGUCACUGAGGAACGUGGAGGAGCUCACCCCAGAAAUGGCCCUUCUACCGCUCCAAGCUCUGCAGGUUUCACUGGCAAAUGUGUCUCCUGUGAAUGGGGGAGGUUGGUCUGAGGAGGCAGUGAGCUGGUUCAAAGCGAUGGUACACAACAGAAGACUUUACGCCAGACUUAACCCACAAGGACCCACCGUCACAGUCGAGCUGUUCCUGGAGAAGGGGAAGUUAGGAGCCAUGAGGAGGGGAGCAUCACUCUCUUUGAGAUUGGCUCAAAAUGGACAUGCAAAGCACAACCAACUGAAGAAGGCUGGCCUCGUAAAAACACGUGCUGUUCAAGACUCUGACUGGAAAAAAUAUCUCCUCAUGUGCGACAGCCGAUAUAAGAAGUUUACUAAAGAGAAGUUACCUGUUGUUUUGGCUGUAAAAGUCUUCAGAUUCACUUUGUGGAUGCGUUUUCCAGUUCGACUCCACCAGCGAAGCUUGCGUCAAACCUUCCUUCACGUCACUGUCCUACCAAGCACAAUAAAUAAUGUGGCAGGCUGCGGCCUUUUGUGUCCACACAGAUUCCUUCUUUAGCCCGGGACCUGGAGGCGAAGAUGAACUGGGGGUCCUUCUAUGCCGUGAUCAGCGGUGUAAACAGGCACUCCACUGGCAUUGGACGCGUUUGGCUUUCGGUCAUCUUCAUCUUCCGCAUCCUGGUGCUGGUGGUUGCUGCCGAGAGCGUUUGGGGAGAUGAAAAGUCUGGCUUCACCUGCAACACCCAGCAGCCCGGCUGCAACAGUGUCUGCUACGACCAGUUCUUCCCCAUCUCUCACAUCCGGCUGUGGGCUCUCCAGGUCAUUUUGGUGUCUACCCCCGCCCUACUGGUGGCCAUGCACGUGGCCCACCGGCGGCACAUCGACAAAAAGAUCAUGAAGAGGUCAGGCCGCAGCAGCCCUAAAGAGCUGGAGCACAUCAAGAACCAGAAAUUUCAGAUCACAGGAGCUCUGUGGUGGACGUACAUGAUCAGCAUCAUCUUCAGAAUCAUCUUUGAGGUGGUUUUCCUCUAUCUCUUCUACCUGAUCUAUCCUGACUUUAAAAUGGUGAGGUUGGUUAAAUGUGACUCUUACCCUUGCCCCAACACGGUGGACUGUUUUGUCUCCAGACCGACAGAGAAAACCAUAUUUACUGUCUUCAUGCUGGCUGCAUCAGGGGUGUGUGUUCUGCUCAAUGUUGCUGAAGUGGUGUAUCUCAUCGGUAGGGCCUGCAAACGGUGCGUGGGUCGCUCCAAGGACGAGUCCAAAGCAGCCUGGAUAAGUCAGCGGUUGUCCUCUUACAGACAAAAUGAAAUCAAUCAGCUGAUAGCAGAGCAUCCUCUCAAGUCCAAGUUCACUGUGAUCAAAAAAAGCCCCUCUGAGAAGGUCGAGGGUUGUUCUGCGUCCUGAGACUCCUUCAAGCUAACAAGUAAUCAAUAAUUUUAAUAUUUAACUAUUGAAACAUCUGUAUAUCUGCAUUUUCGCCCAUUAGUUAUGAAAUUAUUUGUGAAGGUAAAGGCUUGUCUUGUUUUUGUUGCUCCUCUCAACUAUUAAAUCGCCCUGGAAGUUGUUUUCCCACAUUUUAUCUGAUUUCCUGCUAAUUGAACACACCUGGUGGAGCUGUAUGACCAAACUUUGUCUCAUCUCCUUAAGUCUAAACUGGGUGAAACUAACCACUACUUGGUGGGUCCAUCCAUUUUCUGAACCCGCUUGUCCACGUAGGGUCACGGGGGGGCUGGUGCCUAUCUCCAGCGGUCAAUGGGCAGUCAGGCGGGGUACACCCUGGACAGAGAGCCAGUCCAUCGCAGGGCAACACAGAGACACACAGGACAAACAAUCACACACACACACCUAAGGACAAUUUAGACAGACCAAUAAACCUAACAGUCAUGUUUUUGGACUGUGGGAG